GCUUUCCACCAAAACCUCCAGACAAAACAUCUCAGCAGUUCUGGAACAGAGACAACACCUCGUGGAGAGGAUGUCAUCGUCAACACCUGACAAUGUCCUGGUCGCCAUCCCAGCCACGGUGUCUGGAAGGAGGGAAAAAGAGCAGCGAGGGAAGAACACCUUUCUUGUGGGAAAACUCAAUACGUGAACCAAAACAGAGGGAAAAAGGAAGGAAAAGGAGAAAAAGAGAAGGAAGAAGGAGGCUCCUGGUUCUUGCUGGACUGAGGGGGCUGCAUCCCAGGGAUGCUCUGGGCAUCCAGAGCCUGGUGCUGUGUCGGGGAGAAGUCCUGGGAGGAAGGUGCAGCUGAAGUCAGCAGCGCUCGGGUGAGCUGUGUCAUUUCCCAGCUUUAAUAAGCGGAAGUGAAACAAGGAGGGAAAUUAAUCCAAGGCAGCCAGUAACUCCGAUUCUUCCCUGAACAAUGCCGUGCCCAGGAGAUGGCAUUCACAGGAUUCCUGCGGAAGAGGCUGGAGGGGACAUUGUUUGGAGUUUUCCUUGCAGGAGACGUGAAGAUGGAUGAAAAAUCUUCAUGGCUCCAGUGACCAGCACUCCCUGUGGCACUAUCAGUGCAGAGGGAGGUUGAAUCUGGAGGGAGGGGCUUUGGAGCCGUCCAGGCUGUUCUUGCUGGCUAAUGGAAUUUUUUAAUCUAAAUAAAGUUUUCCUGCUCUUCCCA